rnacentral:rRNA from 1 species
GAGUUUGAUCAUGGCUCAGAUUGAACGCUGGCGGCAGGCCUAACACAUGCAAGUCGAACGGUAACAGGAAGCAGCUUGCUGCUUUGCUGACGAGUGGCGGACGGGUGAGUAAUGUCUGGGAAACUGCCUGAUGGAGGGGGAUAACUACUGGAAACGGUAGCUAAUACCGCAUAAUGUCGCAAGACCAAAGAGGGGGACCUUCGGGCCUCUUGCCAUCGGAUGUGCCCAGAUGGGAUUAGCUUGUUGGUGGGGUAACGGCUCACCAAGGCGACGAUCCCUAGCUGGUCUGAGAGGAUGACCAGCCACACUGGAACUGAGACACGGUCCAGACUCCUACGGGAGGCAGCAGUGGGGAAUAUUGCACAAUGGGCGCAAGCCUGAUGCAGCCAUGCCGCGUGUAUGAAGAAGGCCUUCGGGUUGUAAAGUACUUUCAGCGGGGAGGAAGGGAGUAAAGUUAAUACCUUUGCUCAUUGACGUUACCCGCAGAAGAAGCACCGGCUAACUCCGUGCCAGCAGCCGCGGUAAUACGGAGGGUGCAAGCGUUAAUCGGAAUUACUGGGCGUAAAGCGCACGCAGGCGGUUUGUUAAGUCAGAUGUGAAAUCCCCGGGCUCAACCUGGGAACUGCAUCUGAUACUGGCAAGCUUGAGUCUCGUAGAGGGGGGUAGAAUUCCAGGUGUAGCGGUGAAAUGCGUAGAGAUCUGGAGGAAUACCGGUGGCGAAGGCGGCCCCCUGGACGAAGACUGACGCUCAGGUGCGAAAGCGUGGGGAGCAAACAGGAUUAGAUACCCUGGUAGUCCACGCCGUAAACGAUGUCGACUUGGAGGUUGUGCCCUUGAGGCGUGGCUUCCGGAGCUAACGCGUUAAGUCGACCGCCUGGGGAGUACGGCCGCAAGGUUAAAACUCAAAUGAAUUGACGGGGGCCCGCACAAGCGGUGGAGCAUGUGGUUUAAUUCGAUGCAACGCGAAGAACCUUACCUGGUCUUGACAUCCACGGAAGUUUUCAGAGAUGAGAAUGUGCCUUCGGGAACCGUGAGACAGGUGCUGCAUGGCUGUCGUCAGCUCGUGUUGUGAAAUGUUGGGUUAAGUCCCGCAACGAGCGCAACCCUUAUCCUUUGUUGCCAGCGGUCCGGCCGGGAACUCAAAGGAGACUGCCAGUGAUAAACUGGAGGAAGGUGGGGAUGACGUCAAGUCAUCAUGGCCCUUACGACCAGGGCUACACACGUGCUACAAUGGCGCAUACAAAGAGAAGCGACCUCGCGAGAGCAAGCGGACCUCAUAAAGUGCGUCGUAGUCCGGAUUGGAGUCUGCAACUCGACUCCAUGAAGUCGGAAUCGCUAGUAAUCGUGGAUCAGAAUGCCACGGUGAAUACGUUCCCGGGCCUUGUACACACCGCCCGUCACACCAUGGGAGUGGGUUGCAAAAGAAGUAGGUAGCUUAACCUUCGGGAGGGCGCUUACCACUUUGUGAUUCAUGACUGGGGUGAAGUCGUAACAAGGUAACCGUAGGGGAACCUGCGGUUGGAUCACC